AUUGAACGCUGGCGGCAGGCCUAACACAUGCAAGUCGAGCGAGCGGCGGACGGGUGAGUAAUGUCUGGGAAACUGCCUGAUGGAGGGGGAUAACUACUGGAAACGGUAGCUAAUACCGCAUACCAUCAGAUGUGCCCCGCUGGGGUUAGCUAGUAGGUGGGUUAACGGCUCACCUAGGCGCCGAUCCCUAGCUGUGCUGAGAGGAUGACCAGCACCACGGGAACUGAGACACGGUCCAGACUCCGACGGUAGGCAGCAGUGGGGAAUAUUGAACAAUGGGCGCAAGCCUGAUGCAGCCAUGCCGCGUGUGUGAAGAAGGCCUUCGGGUUGUAAAGCACUUGCAGCGGGGAGGCGUUACCCGCAGAAGAAGCACCGGCUAACUCCGUGCCAGCAGCCGCGGUAAUAC
rnacentral:rRNA from 1 species